AAAUGGAAACUUUAGUUUUCAGCUAAAAACUAGCAUGUUAUUAACAUAUAUAUACCUACCUUUUUCCUUAUGAAAAGGUCCUUCUGGAAGAGGACACUGAAGAAAAUAUCCUUGGGAAUCAAGAGCUGUGUCACUUGCCUCUUCAUUUCCUGAUCUCUUCCUAAAACGAGGAGGCUAAAAUACAUCGCAGAUCACAGCUGGAUUUGGACACCAGGCAUCUCCUUUGCAGGGACUUGCGUGGAGCCUGAUUUAUUUAUGUAAACAUUUUGCUGCUCACUAGUCUCAGGAGUCAUCCGGGUGACCUUCAAUGACUCAUCAACCUGAGGACAGAGCAGGAGGAUGCAGGUUUUUCAACCAUGGAUGCCAUGUGUCAGGUCACGAGGAUCCUAGAACAAGUUCCGUUGCAAGUCAGCGUGGAUGGAUGCCAACGGAGGAGGCUGACCUCACCUGGGACUCACCAGCAAGGCCCCAGCAGCCGUGUCAGCUGGUGUCUGCUCUGAUUGGUUGGUGCCUGGACUGCUUGUCAAAUAUUUUGAGUAUCACAGCUACUGAUGACUCUGGCCUAAUACCAGGAAGUUUCAAAAGCCCCUUCCCCCAGUUUGGAUCACCCCACAGAGACAGAAUAAAAGAAAGAGACGGGCACACCCUGAAAUGAUGAUGACCCCCUCCCCAGGAGACUAGCAAAACACCAGUGACUAAGUUCACCUUAGACGGACUGAUGUUCCUAGUUUACCACCGAGUUACUGAAAGGGGCUUAACUGUUCUUCGAAGGAAGGGAUUUAUCAGCAUGUCCAAGAAUGAAAUUUUAAAAGAAAUAAAUAUUUGGAGUCUAUGUUUGAAAGUAGCAGAUACCUUUAGAGGGAUUUAAGGCAUGGUCUUUGUAGAGUAGUUACUUGCCCCUUAAAAAAUAUUUUGUUUGCCUGGAUCGACUAGGAU